rnacentral:rRNA from 1 species
GGCAACAGCUCAAAUUUGAAAUCUGGCUCCUUCCGGGGUCCGAGUUGUAAUUUGUAGAGGGUGCUUUGGCGUCGGCCAUGGUCUAAGUUCCUUGGAACAGGGCGUCACAGAGGGUGAGAAUCCCGUACGUGGCCGCUGGCCUUCGCCAUGUAAAGCCCCUUCGACGAGUCGAGUUGUUUGGGAAUGCAGCUCUAAAUGGGAGGUAAAUUUCUUCUAAAGCUAAAUAUUGGCCAGAGACCGAUAGCGCACAAGUAGAGUGAUCGAAAGAUGAAAAGCACUUUGGAAAGAGAGUCAAAAAGCACGUGAAAUUGUUGAAAGGGAAGCGCUUGCAGCCAGACUUGCUCGUAGUUGCUCAUCCGGGUUUCGGCCCGGUGCACUCUUCUGCGGGCAGGCCAGCAUCAGUUCAGGCGGUCGGAUAAAGGUCCCGGGAAUGUGGCUCUCUCCGGGGAGUGUUAUAGCCCGGGGCGCAAUGCGGCCAGCUUGGACUGAGGUCCGCGCAUCUGCUAGGAUGCUGGCGUAAUGGCUGUAAGCGGCCCGUCUUGAAACACGGACCAAGGAGUCUAACAUCUAUGCGAGUGUUUGGGUGUCAAGCCCGAGCGCGUAAUGAAAGUGAACGGAGGUGGGAACCCGCAAGGGCGCACCAUCGACCGAUCCUGAUGUCUUCGGAUGGAUUUGAGUAAGAGCAUAGCUGUUGGGACCCGAAAGAUGGUGAACUAUGCCUGAAUAGGGUGAAGCCAGAGGAAACUCUGGUGGAGGCUCGCAGCGGUUCUGACGUGCAAAUCGAUCGUCAAAUUUGGGCAUAGGGGCGAAAGACUAAUCG